CAUGCAGUCGAACGGUCUCUUCGGAGAUAGUGGCGGACGGGUGAGUAACACGUGAGAACCUGCCUAGAGGUUCGGGAUAGCAGUUGGAAACGACUGGUAAUACCGGAUAUGCCUGAGGGUGAAAGAUUGUAUUGCCUGUAGAGGGGCUCGCGGACGAUUAGCUAGUAGGUGGUGUAAGGGACUACCUAGGCGAUGAUCGAUAGCUGGUCUGAGAGGAUGAUCAGCCACACUGGGACUGAGACACGGCCCAAACUCCUACGGGAGGCAGCAGUGGGGAAUUUUCCGCAAUGGGCGAAAGCCUGACGGAGCAAGACCGCGUGAGGGAGGAAGGCUCUUGGGUUGUAAACCUCUUUUCUCUGGGAAGAUGAUGACGGUACCAGAGGAAGAAGCAUCGGCUAACUCCGUGCCAGCAGCCGCGGUAAUACGGAGGAUGCAAGCGUUAUCCGGAAUCAUUGGGCGUAAAGAGUCCGUAGGUGGUCAUGCAAGUCCAUUGUCAAAGACAGAAGCUUAACUUCUGGAAGGCGGUGGAAACUGUGAGACUAGAGAGAGGUAGGGGUAGAGGGAAUUCCCAGUGUAGCGGUGAAAUGCGUAGAGAUUGGGAAGAACACCGGUGGCGAAAGCGCUCUACUGGGCCUUUGCUGACACUGAGGGACGAAAGCUAGGGGAGCGAAAGGGAUUAGAUACCCCUGUAGUCCUAGCCGUAAACGAUGGAAACUAGGUGUGGCUUGGAUCGACCCGAGCCGUGCCGGAGCUAACGCGUUAAGUUUCCCGCCUGGGGAGUACGCACGCAAGUGUGAAACUCAAAGGAAUUGACGGGGGCCCGCACAAGCGGUGGAGUAUGUGGUUUAAUUCGAUGCAACGCGAAGAACCUUACCAAGGCUUGACAUGCCGCGAAUCCUGCUGAAAGGCGGGAGUGCCUAAGGGAGCGCGGACACAGGUGGUGCAUGGCUGUCGUCAGCUCGUGUCGUGAGAUGUUGGGUUAAGUCCCGCAACGAGCGCAACCCUCGUCCUUAGUUGCCAAUAUUAAGUUAGGAACUCUAGGGAGACUGCCGGUGACAAACCGGAGGAAGGUGGGGAUGACGUCAAGUCAGCAUGCCCCUUACGUCUUGGGCGACACACGUACUACAAUGCUACAGACAGAGGGCAGCAAGCGCGCGAGUGCAAGCUAAUCCCAGAAACUGUGGCACAGUUCAGAUUGCAGGCUGCAACUCGCCUGCAUGAAGGAGGAAUCGCUAGUAAUCGCCGGUCAGCAUACGGCGGUGAAUCCGUUCCCGGGCCUUGUACACACCGCCCGUCACACCAUGGGAGCUGGUCACGCCCGAAGUCGUUACUCCAACCUUUCGAGGAGGAGGAUGCCGAAGGCAGGGCUGGUGACUGGGGUGAAGUCGUAACAAGGUAGCCGACCCGGAA
rnacentral:rRNA from 1 species